ensembl:scaRNA small Cajal body-specific RNA 3
ACUGGAAGCUGCUGGGACCAAUUGGGACCAGUCAUGGGCAAAAGGAACAUGUUUUGUCCACCGUUGCAGUCUUCCUAGAGCAAAGUGGAGGUCUCUGUCCGCUUUAGGAGAGUGAACUAAACCGGAUCGUUCCCCUCCAUACAUG